AGAAGAGAGGACCGGACGCGAAACGUUUUUGUCGGAAAGGGCCACUUCGUCCACUUUUCUUUGCUUCUGUUUAAAGUCUGAGAUUCUCUCUCGUGCGUCUGUAAAAGACCAAAAGAACAAAAUCCAAAAACCCAACCAAACUCUGGUAAGCCGGUGGCUCCCAUUUGAAGUACACCCUAGAAAAAUUCUUGUACCGCUCACAAUUGGGCCAUCCGUCUUUUAGUCGUAAGAAACACCAUCGUUUUGAU